rnacentral:lncRNA from 1 species
AAAAUUAAGAACAGAAAAUAUGAAAGUGUAGUAUAUAUGGUGAAGUUAAGAAUUGGUUCAUAAAACCUUGGUUGCAGGAUGUGCUCUGGGUCACAAUGUGAAAUCUACUUCUGCUAUAGGUCAGAGUCAGUGGAAAGUCACUAUUGUAGCCGGUACCUAACAUGUUAAAGAGAAAGUCUAUAUAGUCUUACUCAGUAUGAGUCACCACUGGACAAUAUUCAAUAUUCACCACCUCCUCAAUAUUCAAAUCCUGGAUAGCCUGAGAAAGUCAAUGACAUGCAUUGUGCUGAGAUCAUGUGGUUCAGGUUAGAACAGUUUUUCUGGGCUUUGACUGAAUCUCACAGAUCUAAAUGUGUUUUUAUUGCCAUGUUUGCUAAAUGUCCUUGGUAAAGAGUGGAGACUCCAAGGAACACUGGUCAAGAACAGCUGCUUUCUCCUACUGACUUUCUGUGUUUAUGAAGAUCCCUUGUUUUCCCAGACUUCAAGACUCAAAACUUCAAGAUCAUAUUGGACUCCUUUUUUGGUUCUCACCUUCUCCAUUUAAUCCAUCAUGAAAGUUUACAUCACUCAACCAAUUCGAAAUCUGUCUGGCUGGGCUCUAAACCUACUUCACAGUGUUCAUUCUGGCAAGAAGGUGUCAUGAGAGUGUCUCUUGAUUGACUCAAUUGAUGAGACCAGAAAUAAAUACAACAUGACAUCAUGGUAGGAACAGUUUUCUAUCUCUAGCUUAAAAUAAAUCUAAAACAUAAUAGGAACUUAUUAGGAAGAACAAUGGCUUUGUAAUUUUCUGUCAUUUAAAAAAUAAAGAAAAUUCUCCUUUCACAGGAUUAUUAAAUGCUCAUUCCAAAGUUUAAAAAAUAUUACUUGUAUAUGACUAUAUUUUAUUUCACUUUAUAGUAAGUUCCUUCUAUAGUCCUGAAUAUAUGGGUUGCUAG